rnacentral:pre_miRNA from 1 species
UGAAGAAAAGAACAUUAUCGAAGGGGCACGGCUAUACGUCUUAUGUUGCCAGUUGAAUAUUCAUAAGCGUAGAGCUUUUCCCCUUUGAUACUGCUUCAAAAUCAC